rnacentral:lncRNA from 1 species
ACUCUCAAGCGCGCCGCGAAAGGAGGGAGCAGCUUCCGGGACCUGGCGCGGCUUUUGUGUUGGGCAGCGCGAAUGUGGCGAGCUCGGUGCGUCUCCGCUGCUCCUUCCCCUUAUCCCUGGGAGGUCCAAGUGGUCCCGCGGCAGCUUCUGUUGCUCUGGGACCUGCAGGUCCCGGAAGGUCCUUAGGGAGGACCCCAGACACCGGAGACUGGGAAAUGGGACUAUUGGCAUUCAGGGAUGUGGCUCUAGAAUUCUCUCCAGAGGAGUGGGAAUGCCUGGACCCAGCUCAGCGGAGUUUGUAUAGGGAUGUGAUGUUAGAGAACUACAGAAACCUGAUCUCCCUUGGUCUUGCUAUGUCUAAGCCAGAACUGAUCAUCUGUCUGGAGGCAAGGAAAGAGCCCUGGAACGUGAACACAGAGAAGACAGCCAGACACUCAGUUUUGUCUUCUUAUCUUACUGAAGACAUUUUGCCAGAGCAGGGCCUGCAAGUUUCAUUCCAAAAAGUGAUGCUGAGAAGAUAUGAAAGAUGUUGUCUUGAGAAAUUACGCUUAAGGAAUGACUGGGAAAUUGUGGUAGAGACGGGGUUUCACCGUGUUAGCCAGGAUGGUCUCAAUCUCCUGACCUCGUGAUCCGCCUGUCUCGGCCUCCCAAAGUGCUGGGAUUACAGACGUGAGCCACUGCACCCGGCCAGCAUAAGAUUUUUAUAUGAGUAAUUGGGAAGGCUUCUAUAAAUAUAAGCCAUGUGAAGAUGUGCUUGCUUCCCCUUUGCCUUCUGCCAUGAUUCUAAGUUUCCUGAGGCCUCCCCAGAAGCAGAAGCAUGUAAAGCCCACAGAACCGGUCCAGUCGUCGACCAUCGAGCUGCUUUGAAGACCCUGCGGAGGUUCCGUCGCUGCUUGAACACAGUGCCUGGACUCCCUGCUCCGUGAGGCGAAUUUACACCGGGUCCAGCUGCGUCAGCCCGAGUUCUGAAUUAAAACAUGCCUCCCACAGAAUCUAUUUCUGAUGAAUAUGAAAGGAAGAUUGUUCUUCCAUGUUGGUUUUUAUUGAGAUAUCUCUUUUUUUCCCUUUUCAUUUGGUUGUCCUAACUCCAUGAAUAGAAAAGAAAAUGUAUUAAUUCA